ensembl:misc_RNA 7SK 7SK RNA
GGGAAUGUGAGAGACCUGGUUGUGGCAUCUGUCACCUCAUUGACAGCCUGGGUUGAUCAGGUUGACCUGGCUGGAGAGGUGGGUGUCCCCUUCCUCCCUCGUGGCUCUGUGUGUGUGUCCCCUGAAGCCAGGUGCUCUACCAAAGAGAAGGGGCCACAGAAGAGGGCCGGGAUCUGGGUGAGAAUGAAGAGCUGAGCUCCCUGAAGGAACCCAAAAGCACAAGACCUGCAGGGGAGCCAGCCCUGUAGAAAGGGCAGCCACAGCCCCCGGGGACUUUU